rnacentral:pre_miRNA from 1 species
UAUCAGUCAUCUUCCCAGUAUAUCGAAAUAGAUGGAUAUACUGGAUAGAUAAGUGAUAGA